rnacentral:rRNA from 1 species
GACGAACGCUGGCGGCGUGCUUAACACAUGCAAGUCGAACGCUGAAGACCUGGCUUUUGUUGGGUUGGCUGAGUGGCGAACGGGUGAGUAACACGUGAGUAACCUGCCCUCUUCUUUGGGAUAACGCCCGGAAACGGGUGCUAAUACUGGAUAUUCACUGGCCUUCGCAUGGGGGUUGGUGGGAAGGUUUGUUCUGGUGGGGGAUGGGCUCGCGGCCUAUCAGCUUGUUGGUGGGGUGAUGGCCUACCAAGGCUUUGACGGGUAGCCGGCCUGAGAGGGUGACCGGUCACAUUGGGACUGAGAUACGGCCCAGACUCCUACGGGAGGCAGCAGUGGGGAAGAUUGCACAAUGGGCGAAAGCCUGAUGCAGCGACGCCGCGUGAGGGAUGGAGGCCUUCGGGUUGGAAACCUCUUUCGCUCAUGGUCAAGCCGCAACUGUGGGUUGUGGUGAGGGUAGUGGGUAAAGAAGCGCCGGCUAACUACGUG